UACGGAGGGGGCGAGCGUUAUUCGGAAUCACUGGGCGUAAAGGGCGCGUAGGCGGCUUGAUAAGGUUGCGGUGAAAGCCCGGGGCUCAACCCCGGGUCGGCCGUGGCAACUGUCGAGCUGGAGCACUGUAGAGGCAGGUGGAAUUCCGGGUGUAGCGGUGGAAUGCGUAGAGAUCCGGAAGAACACCGGUGGCGAAGGCGGCCUGCUGGGCAGUGGCUGACGCUGAGGCGCGACAGCGUGGGGAGCAAACAGG
rnacentral:rRNA from 1 species